rnacentral:rRNA from 1 species
CAGUCGCCGCGGUAAUACGAAGGGUGCAAGCGUUAAUCGGAAUUACUGGGCGUAAAGCGUGCGUAGGCGGUUUGUUAAGUCUGUUGUGAAAUCCCCGGGCUCAACCUGGGAAUGGCAAUGGAUACUGGCAAGCUAGAGUGUGUCAGAGGAUGGUGGAAUUCCCGGUGUAGCGGUGAAAUGCGUAGAGAUCGGGAGGAACAUCAGUGGCGAAGGCAGCCAUCUGGGACAACACUGACGCUGAGGCACGAAAGCGUGGGGAGCAAACAGGAUUAGAUACCCCUGUAGUCCCUGUCUCUUAUAC